rnacentral:rRNA from 1 species
CGCGUAGGUGGGUUUGUAAGUCAGACGUGAAAUCCCGGAGCUCAACUCCGGAACUGCAUUUGAAACUACAAACCUCGAGGAUAGGCGGAGAAAACAGAAUUCCACAUGUAGCGGUGAAAUGCGUAGAUAUGUGGAGGAAUACCCGUGGCGAAGGCGGUUUUCUAGCUUACUCCUGACACUGAGGCGCGAAAGCAAGGGGAGCGAACAGGAUUAGAUACCCUGGUAGUCC